rnacentral:piRNA from 1 species
UGCAAUUUAGUGCAUCUGAGC